GCCGAAAUCAACCGGUGGACCUGAAGGAUUACCGGGAGAGCUUGGAGUGAGUGGUCAUCAUCAAAAUGCAGCAUGGACAAGAGUGAGAGGUACAACUGCUGCAAGGAUCUACCCUGAUGUUAUUCCUCACCACUGGCUGCUGCUCUUCCACACCAUCACCCCAUCGUCCUGUGCCUGCUCAUCUCCUGCCUCACCAUCUUCUACCUGUCCUCUGGCUGUACUGAGAUCAUGCUCUGCAUCUGUGUGCUGCUCUCCCUCAGCAUCUUCCUGUUACUCAUCACCGAGGUCAUCCGGCCCACCUUGCUGGUCACCUCACUCAUUUGCUUCACUGUGAUCUCCAUGGCCCUCUCCUUGGUAAUCUCAACCUUCACGCCACCUGCACCACCCCUCAGCCAGAACUCACACCAUACCCCGCGGGUUUGCUUGGUCCUGCUGGGCUCUGUGCCCAGGUGACUGCUUGAGAACCUAUCACAGCCACCACCCCUGGAGCUCCAAGGGAACCUGGCCUGAAGCUCAGCUCCUGUUAUCACCGGCUGGAGACCACAGUGGAUGCCGAGGAGUGGGAGGAGGAAGAGAAGGAGGACAGGUGAAGGAAGACUGGAAGUAUGUUGCCAUGGUCAUUGAGAGGAUGUUCCUGAUGUUCAUCACUAUCUGCUUCUUGAAAACCACUGGGCUGUUUCUUCAUCUAUUCCUGGCUGGAAUGAUCUGACUCCAUGUCUUUUUUUGUUGGACCCAUGUUAACUGCCCCAACCAUCUUGUGACAUCUUUAACUGUCCUUGGGGGUCAGCGCCAUCUGCCCAUGGUUCCUCUGUGGCAUCCCUACACUGUCUCAGAGGCUGCAGCCUUCUGGGCAAAGUUCACCUUGACAUUGUUACUGUAUCCCAUAUUGUGAUAGCUCGACGUAAAGCCCUUCUUUGGAGGCUGCAGAGCUGGAAAAGGUGAAGGCAUCUGUUGUAUAAGAAUGUUCUUCAGAAACAUGUGAGAAAGAAAAGGGGCAGAUGAGAAAGGGGGA
rnacentral:lncRNA from 1 species